GACGAACGCUGGCGGCGUGCCUAAUACAUGCAGGUAGAACGCACAGUUUAUACCGUAGCUUGCUACACCAUAGACUGUGAGUUGCGAACGGGUGAGUAACGCGUAGGUAACCUGCCUGGUAGCGGGGGAUAACUAUUGGAAACGAUAGCUAAUACCGCAUAAUAUUAAUUAUUGCAUGAUAAUUAAUUGAAAGGUGCAAUUGCACCACUACCAGAUGGACCUGCGUUGUAUUAGCUAGUAGGUGAGGUAACGGCUCACCUAGGCGACGAUACAUAGCCGACCUGAGAGGGUGAUCGGCCACACUGGGACUGAGACACGGCCCAGACUCCUACGGGAGGCAGCAGUAGGGAAUCUUCGGCAAUGGACGAAAGUCUGACCGAGCAACGCCGCGUGAGUGAAGAAGGGUUUCGGAUCGUAAAGCUCUGUUGUAAGAGAAGAACGGGUGUGAGAGUGGAAAGUUCACACUGUGACGGUAUCUGACCAGAAAGGGACGGCUAACUACGUG
rnacentral:rRNA from 1 species